rnacentral:rRNA from 1 species
CCGCAGCCCUAGUGGUGAUCGAUAUUAUUGAGCCUAAAGCGUCCGUAGCCGGUCUGGUAAAUUCUUGGGUAAAUCGGGCAGCUUAACUGUCCGACUUCCGAGGAGACUGCCAGACUUGGGACCGGGAGAGGUCAGAGGUACUCCAGGGGUAGGGGCUAAAUCCUGUAAUCCUUGGGGGACCACCAGUGGCGAAGGCGUCUGACUAGAACGGAUCCGACGGUAAGGGACGAAACCCUGGGGCGCAAACCGGAUUAGAUACCCGCGUAGUCC